rnacentral:misc_RNA from 1 species
AGAGUGGAUGAAGAGUGGGUACUUUCUAUGCACACUUGCAUAAUUCCAUAUAUUCUCCUAUAUUAAAGAUGAGAUAUCCAAAGUUAUACAAACUACCAUAAAAUUGAACUGUUGAGUCACACAAUGAAGCUAUGAAAAAAAGUAAUUGGGCAUAGACUAAGGGACACUACUAAGAUAUUGGAGAACUAAUUCGGCUUUACUCCUGCUAGGUCUACUACAGAGCCUAUCUUUCUAGUAAGAACAGAAAUUUAUAGGGAGAGGAAAAAGGGUCUUCACAUGGUAUUCAUUGAUCUAAAAAAGACAUAUGAUAAGGUUCUCUGGAAAGUUCUUUGAUGGGUGCUAGAGAAGAAAAGAGCUAAUUUUAAAAAUAUAAACGUUAUUAAGGACAUGUAUGAGGGGGUGGUCGCAAAUGUAAAGACAGUGGCAGGGGACACAGACGAGUUUCCCAUAAUAGUAGGUUUACAUUAAAGAUCAGCUUAGAGUUUGUACUUGUUUACCUUAGUUAUGGAUGAGUUAACCAAUCAUAUUCAAG